rnacentral:lncRNA from 1 species
UGGGGGUGGCCCGGCGCCAAGCAAGACUGAAGGGAAGACACAGGCAGAAAAACGCCCGCUUCAGCAAACGCCCCUUUGGCCGCCAACAACAGCAGCGACAGUCUGUCGGGAGAAGAGAGAGAGCCGACAGCCUCUUGGACUUCGUGGACUCAUUCAGGAUGAUUCUCUGUGGAAUACACUAUAGCCGUGCUGAUAGAGUGCAUGAAAUUUUACUGAAAUGUAAGGUUUCCCUGACUCUCCUUUUGCUUCAUCUCUUUCUAGCUACUUAUGGAAGAGCACAGGAUGGUUUCUUAGGUCAAUACCGAGCUGUGUUCAAUACCUCAUGUAGUGAAGUGUGGACCUUGUCAUCUAAAAUUUCUGUACCUGCCUUGACAAAUUUCACAGUCUGCAUUUAUUUUAAACUGUACGAUCAAAAUGAUUCUUGGACAGCAUUUGUUUACAAAAAGGAAUCUGAUGGCAAACUGNCAGCAGUGGACCGCUAUGAACUUGGACUUUCAGGAGGACCUGAUGAAUUGACAGCUUGGAUAUUUGGCAACAAUAUAACCUGGGCAGAAAAACUGGAUGAUAACAGCUGGUAUCAGGUCUGCACAGGAUGGAGAAGNGAGCAACAGGAAGUAAGUGUAUAUGUAAAUGGCAAAGAAAAGAAAAAAUUAAAAAUAUCUAAAGAUGGAUCACUUGCUCCAGACGGGGAACUUCUACUUGGCUGCUCACAGAANCCUGGUGCACCCUCAUCUUCUGCAGAAGGGGUAACUGGUGAACUGUACAUGUUUAGAAUGUGGGCUAAAGGUGACAUCUCUCAUACUCAAGAUUGCCAGGAUGGAACCAUCAUACGCUGGAGAAAGGAUAAUUGGGAAUAUAAUAAUUCAGCGCAGUUCAGCGAUUCUUUGCCUUGUGCCAAUGCAUUUAACUUCUCAUCAGAAUUUGGAAGAGCUCCAGUAAGUACACUAGCAGACUCAUCCAUUGUCACUUUUGUCACCUACCCUAACAAUGCUUCAGAUAUAUCUUCUCCUGAAACACUGACUAGUGCAGGAUCAAUUUCAGUGACAGAAUCUGAUUUCACAUUGGCACCUGCAGACAGAAUAAUGACUACAGAAGACAGUUCAUUUUCUACUGGUGGGCCUGGUAAGAUCCAGUACUUAAAAAUAAGAUUGACUUAUAUCUCAUAGUUUAUGCUGCUUAUAAAAUAUAUGAUGGGAACUGGACACAUAGUUAAUAUGAAUGAAGCUUCA